AUACCAUUCCCACCCGUCACCAGUAUCGGCGACCACCAAUAAAUCGCCUAUCUCUCGACCCCUAAUAGACCACACACACACACAGAUACCAUUCCCACCCGAUACCAGUAUCGGUGACCACCAACAAACCGCCUAACCCUCGACCCCUAAUAGGCCAUGCACCCACCCAAUUACUAUUCUUUCCUGUCUCCAAUAUCGGCGACUAAACCCCUUUCCCGUCGAAGUCCCCCGACAAUCACCACUAUCAGCGAUCAACUUACUUUUUCUAGGUAGCGAUAACUAAUAUUGGCGUCCCCUAAUGCUACCAACUCAACACAAUAUCAUCAUGUCCGUGCAUAAGACACGCACUAACACUUCAUACACUCACACCUGUAACGUUCCCUUGCCAACUAUCACAUUUACAGCAGCUAUACCCACCUACAUACAACUUAUACUCUCACAC
rnacentral:lncRNA from 1 species